rnacentral:lncRNA from 1 species
UGAUUUUAGGGUAGAAAAGAAAGUAGGAGAACGGCUAGGUUUUCUGCAGGUAAAAGAAAGGGCAGAAGAGCAAUAGGGUUUCCAGGAAUUAAAGGAAUUCCUGCUCUGAUACCAUAUUGGUGAAUAACUUGUAUUUCUAUAUAUAUGAUCAGAAUACAAUAGUACAAAUAUAUAGCUUUACAAUGAACUAAUUUAGGAAACUAUCCUAGCUAAUUGAGGAAAGUAUCCUAGCUAAUUGACAACUAUACACGCAGCUAUUCUAGGAAACUAGAUCAAUUCUAAUAACUCUAUUUUUGGUACAAUUUCCUCUGGUUUGAAUUAAUAUCUUGCAACAG